AUGGGCUCCAGGCUCCUCUUCCCUGUGGCCCUCUGUGUCCUGUGGGCAAAGCACACAGAUGCUAGAGUCACCCAGACGCCCAGGCACAAGGUGGCAGAGAUGGGACACAGGGUGACCCUGAGAUGUCAGCUCAUUUCUGGUGACAACACCCUUUUCUGGUACAGACAGACUUCAGCCUGGGGGCUGGAGCUGCUGAUUUUCUUCCAGAACCAGGCCGUUAUAGAGCAAGUGGAGAUGCUCAAGGACUGGUCCUCUGCUGAGAUGCCUGACAGGUCCUUCUCCACCCUGAAGAUCCAGCACGCAGAGCUGGGCGACUCAGCCAUAUACCUCUGUGCCAGCAGCUCAGCCACAGAGCUGCAGAGCACCAUGGAUUCCGGAAUCACUCAGACUCCAAAAUACCUGGUCUGA